UGAUAUGGAUUUAUAAGGUGUAUGUGGGUAUCAAUUCCACCAGCUGUUAAGAUUAACCCCUCAGCACUAAUUACUUCUGUGCUAACUCCAACAAUAAAAUCAACAUCAUCCAUUGUGCUAUCGUUUCCACCAUUUCCAAUAUAGGCAAUUUUGCCAUCUUUUAUGCCAAUAUCAGCUUUAUAAAUUCCUGUAUAAUCGAUUAUUAAAGCAUUUGUGAUAAUUAAAUCCACAACUUUUGGCUCCCCACGAAGCAAAAUAGCGUUUUGUCCCAUACCAUCUCUUAG
rfam:Campylobacter ureolyticus ACS-301-V-Sch3b genomic scaffold acmbC-supercont1.1, whole genome shotgun sequence.